rnacentral:misc_RNA from 1 species
AAAUAAUUCUCUUAUCACUUGCUUUGUUUCUUUGUUAGCGAAAAUGCCGCUUGUCGAGGCCAAAGGUGGAGUUCAAGUUCUGAUGAAGAGUUCGCGAAGUGAUUUCUUGAAUGCUAUUAGACAAUCCACAACAUUUUUUCUCGCUGCGGCUCCUGACCUGUACAAAAGAAUAGAUCUCAAUGAAGGGCAGCGCAAAAUCACUUAUGGCCAACGUUAUCCUAAAAUCCAAACAUCGACUGAGCUGGUCACUGAAAAUCUUGGGGAAAAGUUCGCUUAUACUGUAAUUGCUGGUGAUAUCAUCGAAAAAUAUGCAGCCAUCGACUUCCAGGCUGCAAUACAUGCCCAUGUUCUGGGGCAAUGGGUGGAAUGGACCUGGGCCUAUAAAUAUGAUCAAAACGAUAGAGAAAAGGCUCAUGAUCUUGAUGCAGAUAUUACACAGAUUGCAGCGGAGACCCUGGCAAAACUUGAUAACCAUCUUCAAAGAGGUUCUGAGACAAAUUGAAUGGAUGACCUUUAAGUAUAUAUAUAGUACGUAAAUAAAACAGAGUCCUGCUCUGUACUCAUCCAUGCAUAUUUGCCAGAUUAUUAUUGUAUCUGUGUGUGCCUAGCUAUGUGCUAUGUGUGUUAUAGUAAAUAAAGCAGAGUCCUAUGUGUGCUUAAUGCUCUGCACUUUAUCCUAGUUGUGUCUGUGUUAUGCUCUUGUACUUUUCUUAAUUAAAAUAAAAUCCAGCUUCAGCUGGUUCAUA